UUGAUGAGAUUCAGAACUGACAGCAAUUCUCAGGAUCCUACCACCUGAGCAACAGACCAGAUCACAGUAAAGCCAGUGAAUCACAGUGAAGAUAUCCCUGAGGCUGAUGUCACCAGACGACACCUCAGAGCCAAAGCAGGUGCUAAAGGAGCGCUGCUCACUCUGGAAGGUUUGGCUGAUAAGCAGUCUUGAAGUAAACAAGCUAUCUGGAGAUGCAUUUUUGGCACAGAAAUUAGUCCUGAUUAUCAAGGACUGAAGGAACAGUAACAGUUUAAACCUCCUAAGUGAG